rnacentral:rRNA from 1 species
ACGAACGCUGGCGGCGUGCUUAACACAUGCAAGUCGAACGGAAAGGCCCUGCUUGCAGGGUACUCGAGUGGCGAACGGGUGAGUAACACGUGGGUGAUCUGCCCUGCACUUCGGGAUAAGCUUGGGAAACUGGGUCUAAUACCGGAUAGGAACCAUCUUUAGUGUGGUGGUUGGAAAGUUUUUUCGGUGUAGGAUGAGCUCGCGGCCUAUCAGCUUGUUGGUGGGGUAAUGGCCUACCAAGGCGGCGACGGGUAGCCGGCCUGAGAGGGUGUACGGCCACAUUGGGACUGAGAUACGGCCCAGACUCCUACGGGAGGCAGCAGUGGGGAAUAUUGCACAAUGGGCGCAAGCCUGAUGCAGCGACGCCGCGUGGGGGAUGAAGGCCUUCGGGUUGUAAACUCCUUUCGCUAGGGACGAAGCUUUGUUGUGACGGUACCUAGAGAAGAAGCACCGGCUAACUACGUG